UACGUAGGUGGCAAGCGUUGUCCGGAUUUACUGGGCGUAAAGAGCGCGCAGGCGGUCGUUCAAGUCGCGUGUGAAAGCCCCCGGCUCAACUGGGGAGGGUCACGCGAUACUGAUCGACUCGAAGGCAGGAGAGGGUAGUGGAAUUCCCGGUGUAGUGGUGAAAUGCGUAGAUAUCGGGAGGAACACCAGUGGCGAAGGCGGUCGUCUGGGCAGAUACUGACGCUGAGGUGCGAAAGCGUGGGGAGCAAACAGG
rnacentral:rRNA from 1 species